GCCGAGGUGGCGGAAUUGGUAGACGCACUACUUUGAGGGGGUAGCGCCCGUUUGGGUGUAGGGGUUCAAGUCCCCUCCUCGGCACCA
rnacentral:tRNA from 2 species